rnacentral:rRNA from 1 species
GAUGAACGCUAGCGGGAGGCCUAACACAUGCAAGCCGAGCGGUAUUUCUUCUUCGGGAGAGAGAGAGCGGCGUACGGGUGCGGAACACGUGUGCAACCUGCCUUUAUCUGGAGGAUAGCCUUUCGAAAGGAAGAUUAAUACUCCAUAAUAUAUUAAUUGGCAUCAAUUGAUAUUGAAAACUCCGGUGGAUAGAGAUGGGCACGCGCAAGAUUAGCUAGUUGGUGAGGUAACGGCUCACCAAGGCAAUGAUCUUUAGGGGGCCUGAGAGGGUGAUCCCCCACACUGGUACUGAAACCCGGACCAGACUCCUACGGGAGGCAGCAGUGAGGAAUAUUGGUCAAUGGGUGCAAGCCUGAACCAGCCAUCCCGCGUGAAGGAUUAAGGUCCUAUGGAUUGUAAACUUCUUUUGUAUAGGGAUAAACCUACCCUCGUGAGGGUAGCUGUAGGUACUAUACGAAUAAGCACCGGCUAACUCCGUGCCAGCCGCCGCCGUAAAAC